rnacentral:rRNA from 1 species
GGUCAAGUUAUUAAGGGUGCAGGGCGGAUGCCUUGGCACUAGGAGCCGAUGAAGGACGUGAUAAGCUGCGAUAAGCUUCGGGGAGUUGCACGUAAACUUUGAUCCGAAGAUUUCCGAAUGAGGAAACUCACUUAGAGUAAUGUCUAAGUAUCAUUAAGUGAAUACAUAGCUUAAUGAGGGGAACUCAGGGAACUGAAACAUCUAAGUACCUGAAGGAAGAGAAAGAAAUUCGAUUCCGUAAGUAGCGGCGAGCGAACGCGGAUUAGCCCAAACCAAUAAAGUUUUCUUUAUUGGGGUUGCGGACAUAUCAUAACGAAGAGGUAUCGUAAUUGAAGAGGUUUGGAAAGACCCACCACAGAAGGUAAUAGUCCUGUAUGUUAAACGAGAAGACUUUAGAUAUGAUCCAGAGUACCACGGGACACGUGAAACCCUGUGGGAAGCAGGAGGGACCACCCUCCAAGGCUAAAUACUACCUAGUGACCGAUAGCGUAUAGUACCGUGAGGGAAAGGUGAAAAGAACCCCGGGAGGGGAGUGAAAUAGAACCUGAAACCCUGCACUUACAAGCUGUGGAAGCACAUUUCUUGUGUGACCGCGUACUUUUUGUAGAACGGGCCAACGAGUUACGUUAAGUAGCAAGGUUAAGCACUUAAGGUGCGGAGCCGUAGCGAAAGCGAGUUUUAACUGAGCGUUCAGUUACUUGACGUAGACCCGAAACCGGGCGACCUACCCAUGAGCAGGAUGAAGCGAAAGUAAAAUUUCGUGGAGGUCCGAACCCACGAGCGUUGAAAAGCUCGGGGAUGACUUGUGGGUAGCGGUGAAAUUCCAAUCGAGCCCGGAGAUAGCUGGUUCUCCCCGAAAUAGCUUUAGGGCUAGCCUCAAGGUGAGAGAUACGGAGGUAGAGCACUGAAUGUCCUAGGGGGUAUUGCACCUACCGAAGACUAUCAAACUCCGAAUGCCGUCAUCUUAUACUUGGGAGUCAGACUGUGGGUGAUAAGAUUCAUAGUCGAAAGGGCAACAGCCCAGAUCGUCAGCUAAGGUCCCUAAAUGUAAGUUAAGUGGUAAAGGAUGUGGGAUUGCACAGACAACCAGGAUGUUGGCUUAGAAGCAGCCACUCAUUCAAAGAGUGCGUAAUAGCUCACUGGUCGAGUGAUCCUGCGCCGAAGAUUUCCGGGGCUAAAACUUACUACCGAAGCUACGGCAUCAGUAAUGAUGGGUAGGGGAGCUUCCCAUACGGGUUGAAGCAUGACCGUAAGGACAUGUGGACAGUAUGGGAGUGAGAAUGUUGGCAUGAGUAGCGAGAUGUGGGUGAGAAUCCCACAGGCCGUAAACCCAAGGUUUCCAGGGGAAGGUUCGUCCGCCCUGGGUUAGUCGGGACCUAAGCUGAGGCCGAAAGGCGUAGGUGAUGGACAACAGGUUGAUAUUCCUGUACUACCGAUAACCGUUUGAGAGAAGGGAUGACACAGUAGGAUAAGCUAAGCACACUGUUGGUUAUGUGUGCCCAAGCAUUGAGGCAGUCAAAGUAGGCAAAUCCGCUUUGAUAAUGCUGGGAUGUGAUGGGGAGCGAAAUUUAGUAGCGAAGUAGCUGAUUUCACACUGUCAAGAAAAGUCUCUAUCGAGGUUAAAGGUACCCGUACCGCAAACCGACACAGGUGGGUGAGGAGAGUAUCCUAAGGCCAGCGAGAGAACUGUUGUUAAGGAACUCGGCAAAAUGACCCCGUAACUUAGGGAUAAGGGGUGCCACCAUCAGGUGGCCGCAGAGAAUAGGCCCAAGCGACUGUUUACCAAAAACAUAGGUUUCUGCUAAGUCGCAAGACGAUGUAUAGGAGCUGACGCCUGCCCGGUGCUGGAAGGUUAAGGGGAUCUGUUAGAGCAAUCGAAGCAGUGAACUUAAGCCCCAGUAAACGGCGGCCGUAACUAUAACGGUCCUAAGGUAGCGAAAUUCCUUGUCGGGUAAGUUCCGACCCGCACGAAAGGCGUAACGAUUUGGGCACUGUCUCAACAACAGACUCGGUGAAAUUGUAAUUCCGGUGAAGAUGCCGGAUACCUGCGACAGGACGGAAAGACCCCAUGGAGCUUUACUGUAGCUUGACAUUGGGUCUUGGUACUACAUGUACAGGAUAGGUGGGAGGCUUUGAAACCAGGACGCCAGUUUUGGCGGAGCCAUCCUUGGGAUACCACCCUUGUAGUACUGGGACUCUAACCAUAGGCCAUGAAUCUGGUCUUGGGACACUGUCAGGUGGGCAGUUUGACUGGGGCGGUCGCCUCCCAAAAGGUAACGGAGGCGCUCAAAGGUUCUCUCAGUACGGUCGGAAAUCGUACGUAGAGUGUAAAGGCAAAAGAGAGCUUGAUUGCAAGACAUACAGGUCGAGCAAGGAUGAAAAUCGGACUUAGUGAUCCGGUGGUUCUGCGUGGAAGGGCCAUCGCUCAACGGAUAAAAGCUACCCUGGGGAUAA